rnacentral:rRNA from 1 species
AAUAGAUACCCGGGUAGUCCACGCCGUAAACGAUGAGUGCUAAGUGUUAGAGGGUUUCCGCCCUUUAGUGCUGCAGCUAACGCAUUAAGCACUCCGCCUGGGGAGUACGGCCGCAAGGCUGAAACUCAAAGGAAUUGACGGGGGCCCGCACAAGCGGUGGAGCAUGUGGUUUAAUUCGAAGCAACGCGAAGAACCUUACCAGGUCUUGACAUCCUCUGACAACCCUAGAGAUAGGGCUUUCCCCUUCGGGGGACAGAGUGACAGGUGGUGCAUGGUUGUCGUCAGCUCGUGUUGUGAGAUGUUGGGUUAAGUCCCGCAACGAGCGCAACCCUUGAUCUUAGUUGCCAGCAUUCAGUUGGGCACUCUAAGGUGACUGCCGGUGACAAACCGGAGGAAGGCGGGGAUGACGUCAAAUCAUCAUGCCCCUUAUGACCUGGGCUACACACGUGCUACAAUGGAUGGUACAAAGGGCUGCAAACCUGCGAAGGUAAGCGAAUCCCAUAAAGCCAUUCUCAGUUCGGAUUGCAGG